ACCCAGUUGGCUCAGUUGGGAGAGCAUGGGACUCUUGACCUUAGGGUCAUGAGUUCAAGCCCCACACUGGGUA
rnacentral:tRNA from 1 species